rnacentral:rRNA from 1 species
CCUACGGGCGGCAGCAGUGAGGAAUAUUCGUCAAUGGGCGCGAGCCUGAACCAGCCAAGUAGCGUGCAGGCUGACUGCCCUACGGGUUGUAAACUUCUUUUAUAAAGAAAUAAAGUGAGGCACGUGUGCCUUUUUGUAUGUACUUUCUGAAUAAGGAUCGGCUAACUCUUUUCCAGCAGCCGCGGUAAUACGGAGGAUCCGAGCGUUAUCCGGAUUUAUUGUGUUGAAAGGGAGCGUAGAUGGGUUGUUAAGUCAGUUGUGAAAGUUUGCGGCUCAACCGUAAAAUUGCAAUUGAUACUGGCAGCCUUGAGUACAGUUGAGGUAGGCGGAAUUCGUGGUGUAGCGGUGAAAUGCUUAGAUAUCACGAAGAACUCCGAUUGCGAAGGCAGCCUACUAAACUGCCACUGACAUUGAUGCUCGAAAGUGUGGGUAUCAAACAGGAUUAGAUACCCUUGUAGUC